UUACGGCCAUAUCACAUUGAAACACUAGUUCCCGUUCGAUCAUUAACGUUAAGCAACGUCGACCCUGGUCAGUAGCUAGAGAGGGACCGCUUGUGAAUACCAGAUGCUGUAAGC